GGGUGCGACCAUACCAGCACUAGUGCAUCAGAUCCCUUUAGAAUUUUGUAGUUAAGCGUGCUUGGGUGAGAGUAGUACUGGGAUGGGUGACCUCCUGGGAAGUCCUCGUAAUGCACCCU